rnacentral:rRNA from 1 species
ACGUACACUCCUACGGGAGGCAGCAGUGGGGAAUAUUGCACAAUGGGCGCAAGCCUGAUGCAGCGACGCCGCGUGGGGGAUGAAGGCCUUCGGGUUGUAAACUCCUUUCGCUAGGGACGAAGCUUUUUUGUGACGGUACCUAGAUAAGAAGCACCGGCUAACUACGUGCCAGCAGCCGCGGUAAUACGUAGGGUGCGAGCGUUGUCCGGAAUUACUGGGCGUAAAGGGCUCGUAGGUGGUUUGUCGCGUCGUCUGUGAAAUUCUGGGGCUUAACUCCGGGCGUGCAGGCGAUACGGGCAUAACUUGAGUGCUGUAGGGGUAACUGGAAUUCCUGGUGUAGCGGUGAAAUGCGCAGAUAUCAGGAGGAACACCGAUGGCGAAGGCAGGUUACUGGGCAGUUACUGACGCUGAGGAGCGAAAGCAUGGGUAGCGAACAGGAUUAGAUACCCCGGUAGUCCCAUGAU